AUUGAACGCUGGCGGCAGGCCUAACACAUGCAAGUCGAGCGAGCGGCGGACGGGUGAGUAAUGUCUGGGAAACUGCCGGCUGGAGGGGGAUAACUACUGGAAACGGUAGCUAAUACCGCAUACCAUCAGAUGUGCCCAGAUGGGAUUAGGUAGUUGUUGGGGUAAAGGCCUACCAAGGCGACGAUCUGUAGCGGGUAUGAGAGGAUGCUCCGCCACCUUGGGAGUGAUACACGGCCCAGACUCCUUCGGUGGGCCGCAGUGGGGAAUAUUGGACAAUGUGGGGAACCCUGAUCCAGCCAUGCCGCGUGUGUGACGACGGCCUUAUUGUUUUGAAGCACUUUAAGCGAGGAGGCGUUACUCGCAGAAUAUGCACCGGCUAACUCUGUGCCAGCAGCCGCGGUAAUAC
rnacentral:rRNA from 1 species